ACUCCUACGGGAGGCAGCAGUGGGGAAUAUUGCACAAUGGGGAAACCCUGAUGCAGCCAUGCCGCGUGUGUGAAGAAGGCCUUCGGUUGUAAAGCACUUUCAGUAGGGAGGAAGGUAGUGUAGUUAACACCUGCACUAUUUGACGUUACCUACAGAAGAAGCACCGGCUAACUCCGUGCCAGCAGCCGCGGUAAUACGGAGGGGUGCGAGCGUUAAUCGGAAUUACUGGGCGUAAAGCGCAUGCAGGCGGCCUGUUAAGUCAGAUGUGAAAGCCCGGGGGCUUAACCUCGGAAUUGCAUUUGAAACUGGCAGGCUAGAGUCUUGUAGAGGGGGUAGGAAUUUCAGGUGUAGCGGUGAAAUGCGUAGAGAUCUGAAGGAAUACCAGUGGCGAAGGCGGCCCCCUGGACAAAGACUGACGCUCAGAUGCGAAAGCGUGGGGAGCAAACAGGAUUAGAUACCCUGGUAGCACAGAG
rnacentral:rRNA from 1 species